rnacentral:rRNA from 1 species
AUGAACGCUGGCGGCGUGCCUAAUACAUGCAAGUAGAACGCUGAAGGGAGGAGCUUGCUCUUUCCGGAUGAGUUGCGACCGGGUGAGUAACGCGUAGGUAACCUGCCUGGUAGCGGGGGAUAACUAUUGGAAACGAUAGCUAAUACCGCAUAACAGUAGAUGUUGCAUGAUAUCUACUGAAAAGGUGCAAUUGCACCACUACCAGAUGGACCUGCGUUGUAUUAGCUAGUUGGUGAGGUAACGGCUCACCAAGGUGACGAUACAUAGCCGACCUGAGAGGGUGAUCGGCCAGACUGGGACUGAGACACGGCCCAGAGUCAUACGGGAGGCAGCAGGAGGGAAUCUUGGGCAAUGGACGGAAGUCUGAGCGAGCAACGCCGAGUGAGUGAAGAAGGUUGUCGGAUCGGAAAGCUCUGUUGUAAGAGAAGAACGAGUGUGAGAGUGGAAAGUUCACACUGUGACGGUAUCUUACCAGAAAGGGACGGCUAACUACGUG